rnacentral:rRNA from 1 species
GGGAUUACCUCAGUAACGGCGAGUGAAGCGGUAACCGCUCAAAUUUGAAAUCUGCCGCAAGGCCGAGUUGUAAUUUGUAGAAGAUGCUUUGGGUAUGGCCCCGGUCUAAGUUCGUUGGAACACGACGUCAUAGAGGGUGAGAAUCCCGUAUGUGACUGGGUGCUUUUGCCUAUGUAAAGCUCUUUCGACGAGUCGAGUUGUUUGGGAAUGCAGCUCAAAAUGGGUGGUAUAUUUCAUCUAAAGCUAAAUAUUGGCCAGAGACCGAUAGCGCACAAGUAGAGUGAUCGAAAGAUGAAAAGCACUUUGGAAAGAGAGUUAAACAGUACGUGAAAUUGUUGAAAGGGAAGCGCUUGCAACCAGACUUGCACGCUGUUGAUCAUCCAGGCUUCUGUUUGGUGCACUCAACUGUGUUCAGGCCAGCAUCGGUUUUGGUGGUGGGAUAAAGGCCUUGGGAAUGUAGCUUCUUUCGGGGAGUGUUAUAGCCCUCGGUGCAAUGCCGCCUACCGGGACCGAGGACCGCGCUUCGGCUAGGAUGCUGGCGUAAUGGUUGUAAGCGACCCGUCUUGAAACACGGACCAAGGAGUCUAACAUCUAUGCGAGUGUUUGGGUGUCAAACCCAUACGCGUAAUUAACGUGAACGGAGGUGAGAACCCUUAAGGGUGCAUCAUCGACCGAUCCUGAUGUCUUCGGAUGGAUUUGAGUAAGAGCAUAGCUGUUGGGACCCGAAAGAUGGUGAACUAUGCCUGAAUAGGGUGAAGCCAGAGGAAACUCUGGUGGAGGCUCGCAGCGGUUCUGACGUGCAAAUCGAUCGUCAAAUUUGGGUAUAGGGGCGAAAGACUAAUCGAACCAUCUA